rnacentral:tRNA from 1 species
GGGAAUGUGUCUUAGUGGUAGAGUGCUUGCCUUGCAUGCAUGAAUCACUGGGUUUGAUUCCUCAGUACCA